AUGAAGUCACAGACCCAGGUCUUCUUAUCCCUGCUGCUUUGGGUGUCUGGUUCCUGUGCAGACAUCGUGCUGACCCAGUCUCCAUCCUCCCUGGCUGUUUCAGCAGGAGAGAAGGUCACCAUCAGCUGCAGGUCCAGUCAGAGUCUUUUAUACAGUGGCAACCAAAAGAACUUAUUAUCCUGGUACCAGCAGAAACCAGGGCAAACCCCUAAGCUGCUGAUCUACUAUGCAUCCACUCAGAACACGGGGGUCCCUGAUCGCUUCACAGGGAGUGGAUCUGUGACAGAUUUCACUCUCAGCAUCAGCAUUGUGCAGCCUGAAAAUAUUGUCAGUUUAUUACUUUCACAGGGUCGCAACUAUCCUCCUAUAGUUCUUCAGCCUCCAACAUAA